rnacentral:misc_RNA from 1 species
CCGUAGCACCUUUUUGCGGUGGACAUAUGCUGGCUGGUCGAGCCGUUUCUGUCUGCUGUGCCUGCCCCUUGUUCAAACGAAGAAGCGUGGUUAGGCUUUCAACCCAUCCCAACCUGUCGUAGUAUGAAUUUAAAUAUGAAUAUAAAUA